AAAAGAUGAUAAAAAAGUUAGUAAUUUUUUUCUAAUACUUUCCCUCUAAAAGUUGCAUACUUCUUUUACUAAUUGUUUUGUGAGGUCAUUUUUUUACAGUUUUUCUAAGGAAGAAGAUUGUCCUAGGAAGGUGAAACAAAUCUAUUGACUUAUAAAGAAAAAAUAGACUGUGAGAUACUGAAUAUAAUUUGGAGACUGAAGUCAGAUAGCAAGAUUCCUUGGCAAAAUAAAGGCAUUAAGGAGACAACAGAUGUGAAUUGAACCAAGGCACUUAUCUUGUGAAAGAUGAGCAUAGAUGUAAACAUAAAACCAUGAGAUCAGAAAAUAUUGCUUAACUAGUCAAAUAUUCCAUUGUACAACAGUGAAGAUGUUCCUGUUCACUAUUAAGAUUUGUGUGUUAGGGUAAGUUGGAUAUGUUUGUUUCUGCAGCAUUUUGAAAAAUUAUAUAAUGCAUAUAUAUGAUUUGUUUAUAUCUCUUUUAAUGAGCAGGUGGAACAUCUUGAAUCCAUUUGUGAACAAUAUAUUUGGUAAGUGGUAUUAGAGUUUUAUAUACCAUCAACGCAGAAGUGGUUAAAGUGUGUAUAUCAUGACCCAUUUACAAUGUUUUACUUUCAAACUUCAUGCAGUAAUACAAUGUGAAAAAAUUACAAACAUUAAUCUAUUCUAUUUGUUAAAUGAACCAAAGAAGUCCUUCACCCCUUCUCUCUCUCUCUCUUUGACUUUUAAGAACAAAACUGACACAUUAAAGGUGCAGUUUAUCAUUUUCUGUGUUUCUUUAAUUGAGGAUAACUGGUCAUCUGGAUAGUAAACAUUUUUUAAAUCUAGAUCUGUAGGUUGCUUACUGACAAUAUACGAGUACAAAGAUUUCAUAUGAAAUGUGUUAGAUACUUGCACUUGAAUUACUUAUAUCUGUAUUUUCUGCAGGUUUUAGGUGCAGAACAUGUCUGAUUAAAUCUAGAUCUGUAGGUUGCUUACUGACAAUAUACGAGUACAAAGAUUUCAUAUGAAAUGUGUUAGAUACUUGCACUUGAAUUACUUAUAUCUGUAUUUUCUGCAGGUUUUAGGUGCAGAACAUGUCUGAUUAAAAGCAAUAUUUAAAAGAAGUUCUGUUAUAUAUUCUACUCCAUGAUUGUGGUUUUGUAAAAUAUUCGGAAUGGUCUUAAAUGUUCCAUCAGCAUACAAGUAAUCACAAGUUGCCAGUAACUGUAGGUUCUUUCAUGUACAGAAAAUCAAUAUUCUAUCAUUCGUUGCACUAGAGUCAAAUGCUAAAACUGUUAUCCAUUUCCAGUUUUAGUGUACUCUUCUGGAAAAACAACAUCUCUUCGAUAAUUUGGAGUAACUAACCAUAGAUGUUGCUUCCCGCGUAAAUUCCGAAUAUUUCUUUUUUUAUUCUGUCUACGGAUAGCAAUUUAGCUGCCACAGCUUGACUGAGUCCAAAGAAUGCUGUGAUACAAUAUAAUGUGGUGCAUAACGUGUAUUCUAUAAAUAAUUUCGUAUGCUGUGCAUUACAUACAUAGCUGAAAUACCAGUGGCAUCGCCAGAAUGCUAGUGCUCAAGACACUCUCGACUAAUGUUAUCAUCAAUUGUUAUCACACGACCUUUGCUUUUUUUUCUUCUAAUUUCCAAUAAACCCUUUUCCUCCCUUGUUGGUCUUUAACAAAUAAAUAUGUGUUCAACUCUAACUUAUGUCUGCCUUUCUCACGCUCAACAAAAUUUAACAUUUUGGGAGAACCAGUUUGCAGUAAACUUAUAAUAGCUUUCUCGAUAUAGUAUACAUAAACAAUGCACUGUGUACAACUACUUCGCAGGAUUGUUCGUAUACAGUGACUGAUGGUCAGUCGAGGACACUUUCAAACACACUUCUCUGGACGUUUCAGUUUAUCCAACACUCCUCAGUAGUGAUGGAAGAGACUAACAUAUCAAACAAACAAAAACCUUGGCAGUUAUUACAGUUUGAAGUCUUCCGGUCUUAUGUUGGAAUUGAUAUUGACGCUUUGAAGACGCUUGUUGAGUCUAACCCAAGGCACACUCGUGAA